UACGAAGGGGGCUAGCGUUGUUCGGAAUUACUGGGCGUAAAGCGCACGUAGGCGGAUAUUUAAGUUAGGGGUGAAAUCCCAGGGCUCAACCCUGGAACUGCCUUUAAUACUGGGUAUCUCGAGUCCGAGAGAGGUGAGUGGAAUUCCGAGUGUAGAGGUGAAAUUCGUAGAUAUUCGGAGGAACACCAGUGGCGAAGGCGGCUCACUGGCUCGAUACUGACGCUGAGGCACGAAAGCGUGGGUAGCGAAUGGG
rnacentral:rRNA from 1 species